CGGAGAGUCUUGGGACGCUGUGUGACGAAAGCCCAGUAGUUGCAGAUAGCGGCUUAGGCAAUUCGGCUGUUCUUUUAGGGUCGCAAAGAGUCUGGAUCCAAUUAUCUUCAAGCCCUUUGAAAGACGUGGCACCAACACGUUCAACACAUUCUCCUGAAGACGGGCAGAAAGAUCUGCAUGAAGGCAAGACUGUAGCUAUAAAAACAAAAACCAAAGGAAUAUAAGCAUAUGAAGAGCAAUCAAGAAAGCCAAACAUAUAAAUGAAAUGAAGCAAACCUGGUUAGACAGACGCUCAGACU
rnacentral:lncRNA from 1 species